rnacentral:rRNA from 1 species
AACGAACGCUGGCGGCGCGCUUAACACAUGCAAGUCGAACGAGAAGGCGUAGCAAUACGCUUGUACAGUGGCGAACGGGUGAGGAAUACAUGGGUAACCUACCCUCGAGUGGGGGAUAACCCGCCGAAAGGCGGGCUAAUACCGCGUACGCUUCCGAUCUUGCGGGAUUGGAAGGAAAGCUGUCCCUUGGGGAUGGCGCUCAAGGAUGGGCUCAUGUCCUAUCAGCUUGNGGUAGGGUAACGGCCUACCAAGGCAUCGACGGGUAGCUGGUCUGAGAGGACGAUCAGCCACACUGGGCACUGCGACACGGGCCAGACUCCUACGGGAGGCAGCAGUGAGGAAUAUUGCGCAAUGGGCGAAAG